GCUGAUCUUAUGUAAACCCCUGUGAAAACGACCUGGAGAAUCUGGCUUACUUCCGUUACCACUUCCAUCAAGCUUGUAUUCAUUAUAGUGAGAGGAGCCGCCUGAUGUUGACUUAAGACUUCCCUUAGAACCAGCAUUUUCACUAUGAACUUCUCCGCCAAUAACCCUGUUCUUCCCCUUUCUUGGUUCCCAUACUUGUGCUACUUCACUCCCUGGUUGGUGUACCCAUAUACCAGUCUCCCGCUGCCCUUCAAUAUUAAUAGGUUCAUACUUAUCUCCAGUUUUUGAAGGUUCAUCAACUGAUUCAGUGGUUAAGGAGCUUUGUUCAGUUUUAUCCACCUCAGCAGAUUUGCUAUCCUGUUCAUUGACCAUACUUCCGCUAUCAUAUGACUGCUCCGCGCCCUUUUUGGCACAAUCAACAACAGUUAUGGCAAGAUGCAAUCUCCCAAUUUUGAUGUUCUGAAGAGACAGCCACAUAUCAUGCCUCUGGCCAUCCCUAAAAUCACAGAUAUUGAUGGAACAUUUUCCCAAUGUAUCAUCAUAUAAAUGGUCUUUGUCACGAACUUCGACAUUGAGCAUGUUGUUAGGAGACUCCCAUGUACAGACUGGAAUCUUGAACUCCUCACGCCACUGUGGAUUCAAUGUCUUCUUCUUAGUCUUAGUCCUGAAUCUGUAAAGGCCAAUGUGCCCCUUAACAUAUGGAUCAGCCAAUCCAUUUAAAUCUGAUGGCUUCAUGUCAGCUGCUUCAAGAACUUCUAAAAUCACAAAAGCAAUGGGCUCCUUAGCAUCAGCUGAAAACCAGUUUUCUGGUUGCGGCGACACAAACUUCUCAACAUCCACCACCAGCAUGUUGGGCUCGACAAGUGUCUGCUCAAAGGCAACAGCAAGAAGUUUAUCCAUCCAUCCAGCAAUUCCAGGAAGUUCUGUUACAUCAAGUCCAUGUGUGAAAAUUGGCUUCACAGUCAUCUGAAAAUAAGGAGGCUCCACAAAGCAAACCCGCAAACGACCGAGAAAUGGCCACUUCCUUAAGAACUUUACCCCAACCAAGACCUUUCCCUCAACAUGCAUGCCCAAUAGAUGCAACUUCGCCCACAUCCCAAAGCCCAACCUUUUUCUCAGUUUCACAGCAAGAAUUGCACUCAUGUCAUCGGCAGCACGGAAAUUCAUUCCUAACUCCAGGACCAAGUGAUCAUCUCCAGUAGAUUCGCG
rnacentral:misc_RNA from 1 species